GAUGAACGCUGGCGGCGUGCCUAAUACAUGCAAGUCGAGCGAACGGACGAGAAGCUUGCUUCUCUGAUGUUAGCGGCGGACGGGUGAGUAACACGUGGAUAACCUACCUAUAAGACUGGGAUAACUUCGGGAAACCGGAGCUAAUACCGGAUGAUAUUUUGAACCGCAUGGUUCAAAAGUGAAAGACGGUCUUGCUGUCACUUAUAGAUGGAUCCGCGCUGCAUUAGCUAAUUGGUAAGGUAACGGCUUACCAAGGCAACGAUGCAUAGCCGACCUGAGAGGGUGAUCGGCCACACUGGAACUGAGACACGGUCCAGACUCCUACGGGAGGCAGCAGUAGGGAAUCUUCCGCAAUGGGCGAAAGCCUGACGGAGCAACGCCGCGUGAGUGAUGAAGGUCUUCGGAUCGUAAAACUCUGUUAUUAGGUAAGAACAUAUGUGUAAGUAACUGUGCACAUCUUGACGGUACCUAAUCAGAAAGCCACGGCUAACUACGUG
rnacentral:rRNA from 1 species